AUGAAGCUCAUCUGCGACUUGCCGUCGCCGAAGUCCCUGCCGGACAAGUACGUCUUGCCGCCAGAGAAACGCCCGUGCGACAACGAGCUACGGGACGACCUCUCGGUCGCUCUCCCCGUCAUCGACCUCCGGGGUGCUAUGGGAGAUGGCCGCCGACAGGUUAUUGGUGAGAUCAUGGAGGCCGGCAAGGAGUUUGGCUUCUUCCAGGUGGUGAACCAUGGUGUGGAGGAAGACGUGAUCCAGGGCUUCCGAGAAGCGGCCGCGGAGUUCUUCAGGAUGCCGGAGGAAGCAAAACUCAAGUACUACUCCAACGAGCCGAACAAUCCAUUCCGGGUCUUCUCCGGCUCCGUCACGUCGCACACUGACACGAACGACAUCCGCUACUGGCGCGACUGCCUCAAGCUUCGGUGCUACCCGGUUGACAAGCUGAUGCACCAUUGGCCAUUAGAGCCAGAAAUAUUUAGGGAGCGUCUUGCCAAGUACGCGGUGGAAGUGCAGGACCUGGCGCGAAGGCUCCUCCGGCUGAUCGCCGAGGGGCUCGGCUUGGAUGAUCAAUUCUUCGAGGGCGACCUCACCGGCGGGGAGACGGUGAUGAACGUGAACUACUACCCGUCAUGCCCCAACCCGAGCCUCACUUUGGGCAUCCGACCGCACUCCAACCGCUACAUCCUCACGAUCUUGUCUCAGGGCGACGUCAGUGGUUUACAAGUCAAGCAAAAGGGACGCUGGAUCGGUGUCCAACCCAUAGACAACGCCUUUGUUGUCAACUUUGGGCUUCAGCUGGAGAUGGUGACCAACGGGGUGCUUACAAGCGUGGAGCACCGGGUGGUGACCAACUCGGCCAAGGCGAGGAUGUCAGUGGCAACACUUAUCAGGCCCAAUAUGGAGUGCAUGAUAGGUCCGGCACAGGUUAUGGUGGAUGGAGACACCAACCCUCCCAAGUACAGGGAUUUCACGGGGAGCGAGCUCAUCGAGGCGUAUGAGACCACUGCUGGCAACAGGGAGGCCCUGCUCGAAAUGUUCAGGAUCCAUCACACCAAAUCGUGCUAG
rnacentral:rRNA from 1 species